rnacentral:rRNA from 1 species
UGCAACUCGACUCCAUGAAGCUGGAUUCGCUAGUAAUCGCGCAUCAGCCAUGGCGCGGUGAAUACGUUCCCGGGCCUUGUACACACCGCCCGUCAAGCCAUGGGAGUCGGGAGUGCCUGAAGUUCGUGACCGUCACAGGAGCGACCUAAGGCAUGACCGAUGACUGGGGCUAAGUCGUAACAAGGUAGC